GAGCAGUGGGGAUAUUGCACAAUGGGGGAAACCCUGAUGCAGCCAUGCCGCGUGUGUGAAGAAGGCCUUCGGGUUGUAAAGCACUUUCAGUAGGGAGGAAAGGUAAUAACUUAAUACGCUAUUGCUGUGACGUUACCUACAGAAGAAGGACCGGCUAACUCCGUGCCAGCAGCCGCGGUAAUACGGAGGGUCCGAGCGUUAAUCGGAAUUACUGGGCGUAAAGCGUGCGCAGGCGGUUUGUUAAGCGAGAUGUGAAAGCCCCGGGCUCAACCUGGGAAUUGCAUUUCGAACUGGCGAACUAGAGUCUUGUAGAGGGGGGUAGAAUUCCAGGUGUAGCGGUGAAAUGCGUAGAGAUCUGGAGGAAUACCGGUGGCGAAGGCGGCCCCCUGGACAAAGACUGACGCUCAGGCACGAAAGCGUGGGGAGCAAACAGGAUUAGAUACCCUGGUAGUCCACGCCGUAAACGAUGUCUACUCGGAGUUUGGUGUCUUGAACACUGGGCUCUCAAGCUAACGCAUUAAGUAGACCGCCUGGGGAGUACGGCCGCAAGGUUAAAACUCAAAUGAAUUGACGGGGGCCGGCACAAGAAUGUUGUG
rnacentral:rRNA from 1 species